GAAUCAGUACGCUGGUCGUGCCUUCGGUAUGUACUGGGGUCACUGAUUCCUCCCUUCUGACGAACCAUCAUGCUAUUAAUUUAGUGUGGCGGGGAAUCAGGACUGUUACUUUGAAAAAAUUAGAGUGUUUAAAGCAAGCAAACGCUUGAAUACAUUAGCAUGGAAUAAUGAAAUAGGACGUUCGAACCUAUUUUGUUGGUUUCUAGGAUUGACGUA
rnacentral:rRNA from 1 species